GCUAAAUUAAUAGAUGUAAUGGAAAUUGAUACAAAGUGUAAAUCGGUUAAUUCUCAAUAGUCAUGAAAAAGUCAGAGGAAGAAGAAGGAAGGCGGCAUUCGAUGUCACGAAUAGAAUCUCCGAGUCUUGGAAUGGAAACCAAUUGGGAAAGGCACCAUGUUAAAGAUGGUGCUAAAUGCAUCAACAUCAGAUGAACUACAUGGGGCAUGAGAACCCCAUCAUCCAAAUCUAUCGGUUCAAAUUCGAUUUAACAUUUUUUCUGCUCUGAAAAUAAAUAAAAAAGAUCAUCUUUU